ACCGGGGUAGUCCNNGCUNUUNNAACGAUNGGAUCCCUAGGCUGUCUGNAGNGAAUCNAACCCCNUCANGUAGGGCGAANGCNUAAACNGCCGUUAAAGNUUUNCCCGGCCUUNNGGAAGUNCCGGCCGGCAAGGNUAAAAUCAUAAAGGANUUUGACNGGGGANCCGCCCAAGCGAUNGGAUUAUGUUCUUUAAUUNCGAAUGAUUAACCGGAAGAACCCUUACCAGGGGCUUGACAUNCCAGGGAAGGUCUAUGAAANGUAGACUGUGCCUUUUGGAACCCUGUGACAGGUGAUGCAUGGCCGUCGUCAGCUCAGUGUCGUGAGAUGUUAGGUUAAGUCCUUCAACGAGCGCAACCCUUGUGAAUAGUUGUAUUUUUCUAUUCAGACUGCCCCGGUAACGGGGAGGAAGGAGGGGAUGAUGUCAGGUCAGUAUUUCCCUUACGUCCUGGGCUAGAAGCGUAAUACAAUGGCUAGUACAAUGCGCAGCGAAGCCGCGAGGUGAAGCAAAUCGCAUCAAAGCUAGUCCCAGUUCGGAUUGCAGGCUGAAACUCGCCUGCAUGAAGUCGGAAUCGCUAGUAAUCGCAAAUCAGCAAGUUGCGGUGAAUACGUUCCCGGGUCUUGUACACACCGCCCGUCAAACCAUGAAAGUGACCAACACCCGAAGUCCGAUUCGUCGGCCUAAGGUGGGGGGCAUGAUUGGGGUU
rnacentral:rRNA from 1 species